rnacentral:rRNA from 1 species
CAGUCGCCGCGGUAAUACGUAGGUGGCAAGCGUUGUCCGGAAUUAUUGGGCGUAAAGGGCUCGCAGGCGGUUUCUUAAGUCUGAUGUGAAAGCCCCCGGCUCAACCGGGGAGGGUCAUUGGAAACUGGGAAACUUGAGUGCAGAAGAGGAGAGUGGAAUUCCACGUGUAGCGGUGAAAUGCGUAGAGAUGUGGAGGAACACCAGUGGCGAAGGCGACUCUCUGGUCUGUAACUGACGCUGAGGAGCGAAAGCGCGGGGAGCGAACAGGAUUAGAUACCCGUGUAGUCCCUGUCUCUUAUAU